rnacentral:lncRNA from 1 species
GGAGGAACACCACCUGCAAACUGUGGUAAUCCCGCCCCUAGUGGCGGGCAUCACCACAACCCUACCCCAUCGCCUCCUUCAGGAGGCCAUGGAGGUGGUGGUUACUAUCCCUCCCCUCCAUCUCAUAGUGGAAGCCCUCCAAGUACUCCUACACCUACACCUAGUACCCCCAGUACACCAUCCACCCCCUCCACACCUACUAUUGUCACCCCGCCUACACCUCCUACCAUUGACCCUGGCACUCCAAGCACUCCAGGGGGUGGUUACUAUGGUGGAAGUCCUCCAAGUAUUCCUACACCUAGUACCCCUAGUAUUACACCCACUACCCCUUCUACACCUAUCAUUGAAACACCACCAACUACUCCUGUC